CUGCCAUAUUGUGUUAAGUGAAUGGGCCGUUUUGUCCUACUGACAAGGUCUUGGGAAAUUCCUACUUCAUCGGCUAACCUUUGAGUUGAGUUAGACUGUCCAUUUCUUUUCGUCGCAUCAGAGACAUAGCUGUUCUUAUUUUUGUGUUUUCCAUUGGACCUCCAUGCUCAAGAUAUUCAGUCUUGGGGGCACGAGAGGGCUGAAGGGCUAUGUGUGCUAAAGCGUUCACAUUUGUUACCCUGUGUUGGCUCCCAUGACAUACUUCCAGCCCAUGGGCAUGUGAGGGGGAGGGGAUUAGUUACGGAGAAGGUUUAAUUUUUAUGUUUUUAGGUCAAGGAAGUUUUUAUUUGCUAAAUUCUUUUGAAUCAUUGAGUGUUGACCUCCUGAGAACUUAUAUUUGGAUCUUGUUUCCUUAAAGUGAUUAAGAUGGUGGAUUUGUGGUGUAGGAAUAUAAUUUCUUUUGCAUCCACCCUGAUAAUAUAAUAGAUCUGCUGAAGUUCAUAUUUGUCUGAGAAGGUUGGCUUCAAUUUUGAAUCUUUAGUUUGAUACUCACUCCAUUCAAUUUUACUUGUCAUGUUCACUUCAUUGAGAGUCAGGUUGACUAAUUUUCGAAGCUAAAUUGAAUUAUAUAGAUGUUUGAGAACUAUACAAAAGAGAUUUUUUUUCCAAAAGGUAAAACUUUCUAUUGUACAUGAUUAAUUUUUGUGCGGCAGAGGAGGAGGAGUAGUAUCAAUGAGAAACUGAAAGCAUUACAGACCCUAAUUCCAAAUUCUAACAAAACUGACAAGGCAUCUAUGCUUGAUGAAGCCAUUGAAUAUCUGAAGCAACUUCAGCUACAAGUUCAGAGUAGAAGAGUAUUACCUUUGGUUUCUGCUGGUGGGAUCGUUGCCCGUGCUACUGCAUCUUGCAUAACAACUUCAUUGGACACCAUAUCAUAUUCAGUCAUGAUAGGUUCCUUUCAUAUCUAUACCAAGGUUGGGAUAGCAAUUCAACGAGAUGAGAGCCAUUCAACCAUCGAUGAGAAACUUGGAGUGUAAAGUAAGCCUGAGGAUUGUAUGAUACUUCAGUUUGAUUGGCUUAAUGAAGCAAUAUAUCUUCGCGAAUAUAUUUUCCCUCAGUUGAAGCAAGAAAAAAGUCUCACAUUGGUGAUUAAGGAACAAUAUGUACAGUAUAUACUGUAAAGUGAAUAUAAAUUAAACAUAAUGAAGAUUAUAUGUGUGUUUAGUAUUUUAUACU